rnacentral:rRNA from 1 species
GACGAACGCUGGCGGCACGCCUAACACAUGCAAGUCGAACGGACGAGAGAGAAGCUUGCUUUUCUCAAGUUAGUGGCGGACGGGUGAGUAACACGUGAGCAACCUACCUUUAAGAGGGGGAUAGCUUCUGGAAACGGAUGGUAAUACCCCAUAACAUAUAUGUAAGGCAUCUUAUGUAUAUCAAAAGAAUUUCGCUUAAAGAUGGGCUCGCGUCUGAUUAGAUAGUUGGUGAGGUAACGGCUCACCAAGUCGACGAUCAGUAGCCGGACUGAGAGGUUGAACGGCCACAUUGGGACUGAGACACGGCCCAG